UUUGACCUACGGGGGGCAGCAGUGGGGAAUAUUGGGCAAUGGGCGCAAGCCUGACCCAGCAACGCCGCGUGAAGGAAGAAGGCUUUCGGGUUGUAAACUUCUUUUAUGAGGGACGAAACAAAUGACGGUACCUCAUGAAUAAGCCACGGCUAACUACGUGCCAGCAGCCGCGGUAAUACGUAGGUGGCAAGCGUUAUCCGGAUUUACUGGGUGUAAAGGGCGUGUAGGCGGGACUGCAAGUCAGAUGGGAAAAUUAU
rnacentral:rRNA from 1 species